rnacentral:rRNA from 1 species
AUACGUAGGUGACAAGCGUUAUCCGGAUUUACUGGGCGUAAAGGGCGUGUAGGCGGUCUUGCAAGUCAGAAGUGAAAUUCCUGAGCUCAACUCGGGCGCUGCUUCUGAAACUGCAGGACUUGAGUGCUGGAGGGGAUAGCGGAAUUCCUAGUGGAGCGGUAAAAUGAGCAGAUAUUAGGAAGAACACCGGUGGCGAAGGCGGCUAUCUGGACUGUAACUGACACUGAGGCACGAAAGCGUGGGGAGCAAACAGGAUUAGAGACCCUGGUAUUCCACGCCGUAAACGAUGAGUUCUAGCUGUCGGGGGUUUCCCCCCUCGGUGGCGCAGCUAACGCAUUAAGUACUCCGCCUGGGAAGAACGCUCGCAAGAGUGAAACUCAAAGGAAUUGGCGGGG